AUUGAACGCUGGCGGCAGGCCUAACACAUGCAAGUCGAGCGAGCGGCGGACGGGUGAGUAAUGUCUGGGAAACUGCCUGAUGGAGGGGGAUAACUACUGGAAACGGUAGCUAAUACCGCAUACCAUCAGAUGUGCCCAGGUGGGAUUAGCUAGUAGGUGGGGUAACGGCUAACCUAGGCAACGAUCCCUAGCUGGUCUAGGAAGAUGACCAGCAACAUUGUAACGUAGAAACGGUCCAGACUCUUACGGGAGGCAGCAGUGGGGAAUAUUGCACAAUGGGCGCAGGCCGGAUGCAGCCAUGCCGGGUGUGUGAAGAAGGCCUUCGGGUUGUAAAGCACUUUCAGCGGGGAGGCGUUACCCGCAGAAGAAGCACCGGCUAACUCCGUGCCAGCAGCCGCGGUAAUUC
rnacentral:rRNA from 1 species